rfam:Bacteroides fluxus YIT 12057 genomic scaffold Scfld385, whole genome shotgun sequence.
GUUGUGAUUUGCUUUCAUUUUAGUAUCUUUGAACCAUUGGAAACAGU